rnacentral:misc_RNA from 1 species
GGAGAACAUUCCAACCUUUACUGGCUUGGACGGCUUGAAGAAGCUAAGCUUUUGCGUGCUCAAGGCCAACAUCAGAUGGCAAUCAAUCUUGCGAAGUAUAUUUCACAGAACUACCAGAUGAACGAAAAUACAUCUGAUGUUUUCCGGUUAAUUGGAAAGUGGCUGGCUGAAACACGAACAAGCAACUCAAGAACUAUACUAGAGAAAUACUUGAAGCAUGCAGUCUCUCUAGCUGAUGAUUGCAUGGCAAGAGGAAA